UUCCAUUUACUUUGUUAUUUUGGGUUUGUUUUUAUAAGCCUUUUCUCUGUUCCCUGCCUAGAGAAGAUCUUUUAGCAUUUGCUGAAGAGUUGGUUUGGUGGUGCCAAAUUUUC